rnacentral:rRNA from 1 species
UGGGGAAUUUUGCACAAUGGGGGAAACCCUGAUGCAGCGACGCCGCGUGAUUUAGAAGGCCUUCGGGUUGUAAAAAUCUUUUCUAUGGGAAGAAAAUGACAGUACCAUAGGAAUAAGGACCGGCUGAUUACGUGCCAGCAGCCGCGGUAAUACGUAAGGUCCGAGCGGUGUCCGGAAUCAUUGGGCGUAAAGGGUACGUAGGCGGGUAAGCAAGUUAGAAGUGAAAUCCUAUAGCUCAACUAUAGUAAGCUUUUAAAACUGCUCAUCUUGAGGUAUGGAAGGGAAAGUGGAAUUCCUAGUGUAGCGGUGAAAUGCGCAGAUAUUAGGAGGGAUACCGGUGGCGAAGGCGACUUUCUGGCCAUAACCUGACGCUGAGGUACGAAAGCGUGGGUAGCAAACAGG